GGAAAAUAAUAUCUCUUUUUGUGAAUCAGCUUUGAGAGACUGCUGCUUCACGCCGUCUGCCAGUACAUGGACCUCGUCUCUGCAAGCAGCGACUACAACGGGUCCCGUCAGACUGAGGUGGUGAACAAGCAGGAAGAGUUCCUUCCUCCUGGGCUCCUGCUGUCGGCCCACUUGGAGCAGAUGAGCUGAGCCAUGUUUCCUCCUCAGAGCUCUGCGGCAGCCAGGCGCUCCGACAGGUGGAGAUAAAUCUAUUUGUCUGGAUAACGUCCGCCUGGUUCCUUCCUUCCUUUUUCCUCUGUCUGGUCUCUGGUUUCUGUAUCCAUAAAUACGUGAGAGUUUAUCAACGCCUGAAUGCAGAUGGAUAUACAUCCUAAACAUUAGCAUGUUAGCAUGCUCACUGUUGGCAUGUGAGUAUGCCGCAGAUAGAAUUCAGCUCAAAGCUAAGCCUGAGUAAUUUCCUUGCCUUGAGAAUAACCCUUUAGAUUUUAUCCUCAGGCAAAAUGCUUUAAUUUCUGCCAAACAGAAAAUGGUCCGUGUUCUCAAAGCAGUUUCUCAUUCAACCAAAAAUGGUGUUGUCUGGUGUGGAAAGAAAGCAUCAUGGAGCUGUGUGGCUCGAUUGAACUACUGUUUUCAUUCUUGGGAUCAAAUGUUUUCCAAGUCAAUUCAUUAACAUAAUAAUGUUAUAUGGAUUGUUAAUUCUUCAUUUUAAGAAUAUUCUAACCUCACAACCUGAUUGUUGAUCUGGAAUUCACAACUAGGUAUUGUUACAACCCGGCUCGUGGGCUGUAACAUAAAGCAGGGAGGCGAGACGAGAGGUAAGAAUAAUAUAGUUUAUUGUUUAAACACAACAAACUAAAUAGACACCAGCAUCAGGUCCCCGAAACUGGCGUAGAGAAAGUGCCCAGAGGAGUGAGAGCGACGCAACCGGCUGGGCUCCUCCUUUAUCCCGCUUCAUCAGGUGUAGCUCAUCAGGUAGGCAUCCGCCCACAGGUGCGGCUCAACAGCACCUGAACCUGCGAACACCCACAAACCACACACACACAAACAGACGGCACCCCACGUGGUGUGGAGGGGUCGUCACAGUAUACAUAAUACAAACAAAUCACACUUGUUUCAAUUUCCAAAUAACAAAUGGCAACUGUUCAUAAUCCUUGAGAUUAGCAUUCAAAUUCAUUUAUGAGUUGUAUAUUAGAGCAACGGUUAGUCAAGAGUUGAUCUAUCUGUCCCUUUUCACAGCGCAAAUGAUAGCAUUUAGAAACUACUGUUAAGUAAAACAUCUUUCUUUCCAAGCACAAAUUCAGAACAGUACAUAAUGACAAUAUUAACCUAAAAAGUGAUGGAAUAAUUACUUAAAUAACAGACUUGUAUCAAAUAUAUCUGUGCAGCUCUGUGCAGGCUGCAAGGAGUCAUAGAGACAUGUUGCAAAGGUGCUAAGACUGAGGUAUGCAUAAGGAAAUAUAUCACUGCCUGUAGGGUCAUCCUAGGAUUAGUAUAAGUGGUGAGGUGUGAGGCAUGAACAUGUAUCAUCUCUACAUUAUAUGCACAGACACUUCACUCUUCAUCUGAGGUACAGAAGUAAAUUCUUUGCUGAGAAAGUCAUUCUUAAGUUUCUUCUUCUUUUAAGGUACAAUUUAUUGGAUAUUUCUUUCAUUUUGUCUUUCUCUGCUGGCUUUGUCAAGUGUUAUCACCUCGACUACUCGGCGUCAAGAACAUUUUUUCCCCGAUACACACUAAAGUACAUGAUUGUGUAUAUAUAGUAUGGCAGCACUGUGGCUGAACAGGUUGCUCAUGUGCUGCUAUCAAUGCACACUGGGGUAGACGAGGUGUGAGUGUUAUAUCAGUCAAUAAUCAAAGACAAGUAAAGGAACUGUACUAUAGUCAUAAACUGCUUAUGUCUGUACAUUUCGAUGUAUUUAAGGCUUUAUUGCUACAUGCAUAAUGCUCACUAGGUUUACACACAAGCAUAAAAUUACAAGCAUAUUUUUUUCACGUAAACAUGUAAUAUUGUUACUACGGUUUUAAGUAGAAUGUCCAAUAGAUGUGUUACACUGGUAGAAAUAAAACCAUGUUACUUUGUUUUGAUGAUAAAAGCCUGCAGAGUUUUGACUCUGUAUGAACAUUAACUCUUACAACAGCACUUCUGCCUUAUGAAUACAAGUUUCUAUGUUUUUUUCUACAUUUGUACUUGACUGGAUUUUGGAAACAAUGUGUAAAAAAACUUGACAUGGUGCAUUUUGUUGUCAACCAAAGGGUGUGUGUUUGUUUGCGUUGAAAUGACAUUUCUCAGGCUCUAAACUUCUCUCUCUGAAUGUCACGUAGUUCAUCUCACAUGGUGUCAUCUACUGUGUACUGUAAACUUCCUUCAACAUGAACUUGUUUUGGUCAUGUUCACCCCAACACGGCGGGGCGCUGCCAACUUUUUAAAUAUAAUAGAAGUAGUUGUGCCUGUAAAAUAUGAACUCAGAUGAUUUACUUGUGCCAACAUGUGGAGAAGCCUAAAAUAUUCUGACAGCUUUAUAUACUAGUCAAAAACAUCUGUGUAUUUAAUUAUAUGUGUGUGCAACAGCAAUUAUUUAUAAUUAUCACUGCAUCUAUUAAAAGGAUUUCAAAUAUUU